rnacentral:rRNA from 1 species
AUUAGAUACCCGUGUAGUCCCAGCCGUAAACAAUGUGCGUUAGGUGUGUCGGUAACCACGUGUUACUGAUGCGCCGAGGAGAAAUCGUGAAACGCACCACCUGGGAAGUACGGUCGCAAGGCUGAAACUUAAAGGAAUUGGCGGGGGAGCACCACAACAGGUGGAGCCUGCGGUUUAAUUGGAUUCAACGCCGGACAUCUCACCGGAUAAGACAGCUGAAUGAUUGUCAAUCUGAAGGUUUUACAUGACUAGCUGAGAGGAGGUGCAUGGC